UACAGAGGGUGCGAGCGUUAAUCGGAAUUACUGGGCGUAAAGCGUGCGUAGACGGUUAUUUAAGUCGGAUGUGAAAGCCCCGGGCUCAACCUGGGAAUUGCAUUCGAGACUGAAUGGCUAGGGUGCGGUAGAGGGAAGCGGAAUUUCCGGUGUAGCGGUGAAAUGCGUAGAUAUCGGGAGGAACACCAGUGGCGAAGGCGGCACUCUGGGCCGGAACUGACGCUGAGGAGCGAAAGCGUGGGGAGCGAACAGG
rnacentral:rRNA from 1 species